rnacentral:rRNA from 1 species
CCAAUAGCGUAUAUUAAAGUUGUUGCAGUUAAAAAGCUCGUAGUUGAACUUCGGGGUUUGCUCAUUGGUCAGGCUUAAUUGUCUGUACUGGUGGGAUAAAUCUCUACCUUCUGAGGAACUUUCAUGCCAUUUAUUUGGUGUGAUGGGAAAUCAGGACUGUUACUUUGAAAAAAUUAGAGUGUUUAAAGCAGACUAACGUCUGAAUACAUUAGCAUGGAAUAAUGAAAUAGGACGGAUUGAUUCUAUUUCGUUGGUUUCUAGGAUCACCGUAAUGAUUAAUAGGGAUAGUUGGGGGCAUUAGUAUUCAAUUGUCAGAGGUGAAAUUCUUGGAUUUAUUGAAGACUAACUACUGCGAAAGCAUUUGCCAAGGAUGUUUUCAUUAAUCAAGAACGAAAGUUAGGGGAUCGAAGACGAUCAGAUACCGUCGUAGUCUUAACCAUAAACUAUGCCGACUAGGAAUCAGACGAUGUUAAUUUUUUAAUGACUCGUUUGGCACCUUACG